UGAUGCUGUGGGAGGAAAAUCUGAAACCACCCCAUCAACAGAAAACUGCGGAUUAUUGAUAAAUUGCAAGUACUCAGAUAUAGGGUCAUAAGUAUAAUUAUAGACUGUAGCCAAGUCAUUUGCAAAGCCAGUAGCAUGUACUUCAAGACCCAGUUUAUGAGCAUCAAGGACAAGAGUUGUGGAGCUCUCCAAAUAGUUGUCUUUGUUUACAGGCC
rnacentral:misc_RNA from 1 species